CGUAGCUCAGAUGGAUAGAGUAUCGGUUUCCGAAGCCGAAGGUCAAGGGUUCAAAUCCCUUCG
rnacentral:tRNA from 1 species